UACGGAGGGUGCAAGCGUUGUUCGGAAUUACUGGGCGUAAAGCGCGUGUAGGCGGUUAGGCAAGUCAGAUGUGAAAGCCUUUCGCUUAACGGAAGAAGUGCAUUUGAUACUACUUAACUGGAGUUCGGAAGAGGAGAGUGGAAUUCCUGGUGUAGAGGUGAAAUUCGUAGAUAUCAGGAGGAACACCAGUGGCGAAGGCGGCUCUCUGGUCCGAUACUGACGCUGAGACGCGAAAGCGUGGGGAGCAAACAGG
rnacentral:rRNA from 1 species